CGACGUUUUCUUUUGAAAAUUGUAAUAAAACAACCAUUUCCACUGUACAUCGCUACUAAAUAAACUAAUUUUCGAAAAUAUUUUAUAGUUUUGCAAAAAUUGAACAUUUUCUGGACGCCCCCCAAAUUGUCCCAAUCUUAUAUGAAUAAUGAGCGAAAAAAUUAAAAUAUUAUUUUGUGGAGAUGUCGAAGGAAAAUUCGAUACACUUUUCAAAAGAGUUAAAACCAUACAUGAAAAAUCUGGACCCUUUGAUCAACUCCUAUGUGUGAGCAACUUUUUUGGAAUAAAUAAUAAGGAGUUUAUUCCUUAUAAGCUUGGAGAAAAAAAAGCUCCAAUACCCACAUAUAUUUUGGGUCCAAACAAAGAGGAUCAGUUAAAAGAGUAUCCUGAAGAUGAAUCACAGUUUGAAAUCUGUCAUAAUAUAUAUUAUUUGGGAAAAAGAGGAAUUUACAGUGACAGCAAAGGCCUUAAAAUUGCUUACGUUAGUGGCAUAGCCAACACAGCAAAGUCCGAACCAUGGACAUAUAAUGAAAAAGACAUUUCAGACCUUUGUGACAUCUCUCUAAGAGGAAACCCCUCAUUUAGGGGUGUGGAUGUCCUACUAACAUCCCAGUGGCCUGAUGGAGUUAUUCAUGAGAACAAGGUGAACCUUACCAUCAAUAUGCCAACUAAUCUGCUGAGUUUUUUAUGCAUGAAACUGAGACCCCGAUACAUUAUUAGUGGUCUUGAAGGUGUUUAUUAUGAGAGACCUCCGUUUAGAUGCCCUUCUAAUGACAACGAUAGCACUUUGGAAACUGUAACUAGAUUUAUAGGUUUGGCAAGGGUGGGCAACCCCAAUAAAGACAAAUGGAUAUACGCUUUAAAUGUUACCCCUUUGGAUAAAAUGAAAAUUGCCGAGCUAAUUCAGAAAACCACUGACGAGACUCCUUGUCCCUUUGAUCUGAGGGAAUUGGAGGCCAAGUUAUUUAAGGAUGGUGCUAAACGUAAAUCGAGUCAACCUAAUCAAUAUUUUUAUGAUAUGAACGCCUCUAUGGACGACCACAACAAGAAGCAAAAAUUCAAAAAACAAAAAGUGGAAUUCGAUCAGAGCAAAUGCUGGUUUUGUUUGGCCAGUCCAACUGUGGAGAAACACUUGGUGAUAACCGUGGGUAAUUGUUGCUACCUUACCCUAGCCAAAGGUGGUAUUGUCGAAGAACAUUUCCUAAUUUGCCCGAUGGAACAUUUUCAAAGCAGCUUGGCUUGUACCGAAGAUAUAAGGAAAGAAAUGGGCGAGUUUAAGGAAGCUUUAAGGAAUUUUUACGCGAGAAAAGGUCAAGUGCCGGUGUUUUCCGAGAGGAAUUAUAAGACGUCGCAUAUGCAGUUGCAGGUGGUGCCUAUACCUGAAAAAGCUGCUCGGGAAUUGAAAGAUAUUUUUUUGGAAGAAUCUGAAGCCCAAGGCUUCCGUUUGGAAACCUUAGAAUCCCACAACCGCCUGGACCAAGUAAUACCACCAAAAACGCCAUUUUUCACGGUAGAACUUCCCGAUGGACAAGUUUUAUACUCGAAAAUACAAACAUCCAUGAAUUUCCCUCUAAGUUUCGCCAGAGAGGUGCUGGCCUCGGGCCCAAUACUAAAUAUGCCCAAUAGAGUGGAAUAUAAGGAUUGUAUUCUGACGAGGAGCGAAGAAGAGGAGCUGGUUAACAGGAUCAGAACUGAUUUUGAACCGUUUGACUUUACUUUGUAGGAAGUUUUAGGGCGGAUGUAUCCGUUCAUUAAAACUCGGCGCAUGCGAUAUACUAAAGGUAGUUUCAUCGUUGUGACUAGAGUAACCGCUAGAGGACCUUACGUGUCUCAGUCCCUUGUUGCCGCCCUUUCCCUUGCCCUUUCUCGCGUUGUACGGUUUUCGGCCCACACUGCCUGAGGGCGGCGAGUCCGAAGAGGUCGAGGAACCCUCCGCCCCACCUGGAAAAUAUCAUCAGAUUAUUAUAUUAUGUGGCUGUUCCCCGCAUAGGGAUAGUUCCAGGAGAUGCCGAUGGUGCGUGACUGCUGAUCAAUGACCUUGACGUUCCUUGGGGCUUCCGGGAUUUCCUGGACGAUCAGCUGGAUGUUCAUGUCGUCACUUCCGUAGGAAUUCGAGGCGGAACAGAUGAAGAUGCCCGUGUCUUGACGGAUGGUUCUUUCUAUGCCUGAUAAAGGGGAAUUUUUCUGUAUAUUUUAUAGUGAAAUAAAGUACUUUUUUUAAUUUUUUAUUAAAAUAAAGGCAAUGUGAGAA